GUGAGGAAUUUUCCGCAAUGGGCGAAAGCCUGACGGAGCAAUGCCGCGUGAAGGAUGAAGGCCUAUGGGUUGUAAACUUCUUUUCUUAGAGAAGAAUAUUGACGGUAUCUGAGGAAUAAGCAUCGGCUAACUUCGUGCCAGCAGCCGCGGUAAUACGAAGGUCCCAAGCGUUGUUCGGAAUCACUGGGCGUAAAGGGAGCGUAGGCGGCGUGGUAAGUCAGAUGUGAAAUCCCGGGGCUCAACCCCGGAACUGCAUCCGAUACUGCCAUGCUUGAGGGUUGGAGAGGUAGCUGGAAUUCUCGGUGUAGCAGUGAAAUGCGUGGAUAUCGAGAGGAACACUCGUGGCGAAGGCGAGCUACUGGACAACAUCUGACGCUGAGGCUCGAAGGCCAGGGGAGCAAAAGGGAUUAGAUACCCCAGUAGUCC
rnacentral:rRNA from 1 species